rnacentral:rRNA from 1 species
GAUGAACGCUGGCGGCGUGCCUAAUACAUGCAAGUCGAGCGAACAGACGAGGAGCUUGCUCCUCUGACGUUAGCGGCGGACGGGUGAGUAACACGUGGAUAACCUACCUAUAAGACUGGGAUAACUUCGGGAAACCGGAGCUAAUACCGGAUAAUAUAUUGAACCGCAUGGUUCAAUAGUGAAAGACGGUUUUGCUGUCACUUAUAGAUGGAUCCGCGCCACAUUAGCUAGUUGGUAAGGUAACGGCUUACCAAGGCAACGAUGCGUAGCCGACCUGAGAGGGUGAUCGGCCACACUGGAACUGAGACACGGUCCAGACUCCUACGGGAGGCAGCAGUAGGGAAUCUUCCGCAAAGGGCGAAAGCCUGACGGAGCAACGCCGCGUGAGUGAUGAAGGUCUUCGGAUCGUAAAACUCUGUUAUUAGGGAAGAACAAAUGUGUAAGUAACUAUGCACGUCUUGACGGUACCUAAUCAGAAAGCCACGGCUAACUACGUG